UACGAAGGGGGCUAGCGUUGCUCGGAAUCACUGGGCGUAAAGCGCACGUAGGCGGCUUUCUAAGUCAGGGGUGAAAUCCUGGAGCCCAACUCCAGAACUGCCUUCGAUACUGGCGAUCUCGAGUUCGGGAGAGGUGAGUGGAACUGCGAGUGUAGAGGUGAAAUUCGUAGAUAUUCGCAAGAACACCAGUGGCGAAGGCGGCUCACUGGCCCGAUACUGACGCUGAGGUGCGAAAGCUAGGGGAGCGAACGGG
rnacentral:rRNA from 1 species